GAUGAACGCUGGCGGCGCGCCUAAUACAUGCAAGUCGAGCGAACAGACCAGGUGCUUGCUCCUCUGACGUUAGCGGCGGACGGGUGCGUAACACGUGGAUAAACUACCUAUAAGACUGGGAUACCCAUGGGAAACCGGCGUUACUACCGGAUAAUUUAUUGACUCGCAUGGUUCACCAGUGAAAGAAGCUUUUGCCGUCACUUAUAGACGGAUCCGCGCCGCAUUAGUUAGUUGGUAUGGUAACGGCUUACCAAGGCAACGAUGCGUACCCGUCCUGAAAGAGUGGUCAGCCAUCAAGGAGGUGAGAAGCAGGCCAGACACCUGCAGGAGGCAACAGAUAGGACUCUUCCGCAAUAGUCGAAAGCCUGAUGGAGCAAUCCCGCGUGAGUAAUGAAGGUCUUCGGAUCGUAAAACGCUGUUGUUAGUGGAGAUCAAAUGUGUAGUUAACUGUGCUCGUCGUAACAGUACCUGAUCAGAAAGCCACGGCUAACUACGUG
rnacentral:rRNA from 1 species